rnacentral:rRNA from 1 species
AGCGUACACGGUGGAUGCCCUGGCAGUCAGAGGCGAUGAAGGACGUGCUAAUCUGCGAUAAGCGUCGGUAAGGUGAUAUGAACCGUUAUAACCGGCGAUUUCCGAAUGGGGAAACCCAGUGUGUUUCGACACACUAUCAUUAACUGAAUCCAUAGGUUAAUGAGGCGAACCGGGGGAACUGAAACAUCUAAGUACCCCGAGGAAAAGAAAUCAACCGAGAUUCCCCCAGUAGCGGCGAGCGAACGGGGAGGAGCCCAGAGCCUGAAUCAGUGUGUGUGUUAGUGGAAGCGUCUGGAAAGGCGCGCGAUACAGGGUGACAGCCCCGUACACAAAAAUGCACAUGCUGUGAGCUCGAUGAGUAGGGCGGGACACGUGGUAUCCUGUCUGAAUAUGGGGGGACCAUCCUCCAAGGCUAAAUACUCCUGACUGACCGAUAGUGAACCAGUACCGUGAGGGAAAGGCGAAAAGAACCCCGGCGAGGGGAGUGAAAAAGAACCUGAAACCGUGUACGUACAAGCAGUGGGAGCCUCUUUUAUGGGGUGACUGCGUACCUUUUGUAUAAUGGGUCAGCGACUUAUAUUCUGUAGCAAGGUUAACCGAAUAGGGGAGCCGAAGGGAAACCGAGUCUUAACUGGGCGUUAAGUUGCAGGGUAUAGACCCGAAACCCGGUGAUCUAGCCAUGGGCAGGUUGAAGGUUGGGUAACACUAACUGGAGGACCGAACCGACUAAUGUUGAAAAAUUAGCGGAUGACUUGUGGCUGGGGGUGAAAGGCCAAUCAAACCGGGAGAUAGCUGGUUCUCCCCGAAAGCUAUUUAGGUAGCGCCUCGUGAAUUCAUCUCCGGGGGUAGAGCACUGUUUCGGCAAGGGGGUCAUCCCGACUUACCAACCCGAUGCAAACUGCGAAUACCGGAGAAUGUUAUCACGGGAGACACACGGCGGGUGCUAACGUCCGUCGUGAAGAGGGAAACAACCCAGACCGCCAGCUAAGGUCCCAAAGUCAUGGUUAAGUGGGAAACGAUGUGGGAAGGCCCAGACAGCCAGGAUGUUGGCUUAGAAGCAGCCAUCAUUUAAAGAAAGCGUAAUAGCUCACUGGUCGAGUCGGCCUGCGCGGAAGAUGUAACGGGGCUAAACCAUGCACCGAAGCUGCGGCAGCGACGCUUAUGCGUUGUUGGGUAGGGGAGCGUUCUGUAAGCCUGUGAAGGUGUGCUGUGAGGCAUGCUGGAGGUAUCAGAAGUGCGAAUGCUGACAUAAGUAACGAUAAAGCGGGUGAAAAGCCCGCUCGCCGGAAGACCAAGGGUUCCUGUCCAACGUUAAUCGGGGCAGGGUGAGUCGACCCCUAAGGCGAGGCCGAAAGGCGUAGUCGAUGGGAAACAGGUUAAUAUUCCUGUACUUGGUGUUACUGCGAAGGGGGGACGGAGAAGGCUAUGUUGGCCGGGCGACGGUUGUCCCGGUUUAAGCGUGUAGGCUGGUUUUCCAGGCAAAUCCGGAAAAUCAAGGCUGAGGCGUGAUGACGAGGCACUACGGUGCUGAAGCAACAAAUGCCCUGCUUCCAGGAAAAGCCUCUAAGCAUCAGGUAACAUCAAAUCGUACCCCAAACCGACACAGGUGGUCAGGUAGAGAAUACCAAGGCGCUUGAGAGAACUCGGGUGAAGGAACUAGGCAAAAUGGUGCCGUAACUUCGGGAGAAGGCACGCUGAUAUGUAGGUGAAGCGACUUGCUCGUGGAGCUGAAAUCAGUCGAAGAUACCAGCUGGCUGCAACUGUUUAUUAAAAACACAGCACUGUGCAAACACGAAAGUGGACGUAUACGGUGUGACGCCUGCCCGGUGCCGGAAGGUUAAUUGAUGGGGUCAGCGCAAGCGAAGCUCUUGAUCGAAGCCCCGGUAAACGGCGGCCGUAACUAUAACGGUCCUAAGGUAGCGAAAUUCCUUGUCGGGUAAGUUCCGACCUGCACGAAUGGCGUAAUGAUGGCCAGGCUGUCUCCACCCGAGACUCAGUGAAAUUGAACUCGCUGUGAAGAUGCAGUGUACCCGCGGCAAGACGGAAAGACCCCGUGAACCUUUACUAUAGCUUGACACUGAACAUUGAGCCUUGAUGUGUAGGAUAGGUGGGAGGCUUAGAAGUGUGGACGCCAGUCUGCAUGGAGCCGACCUUGAAAUACCACCCUUUAAUGUUUGAUGUUCUAACGUUGACCCGUAAUCCGGGUUGCGGACAGUGUCUGGUGGGUAGUUUGACUGGGGCGGUCUCCUCCUAAAGAGUAACGGAGGAGCACGAAGGUUGGCUAAUCCUGGUCGGACAUCAGGAGGUUAGUGCAAUGGCAUAAGCCAGCUUGACUGCGAGCGUGACGGCGCGAGCAGGUGCGAAAGCAGGUCAUAGUGAUCCGGUGGUUCUGAAUGGAAGGGCCAUCGCUCAACGGAUAAAAGGUACUCCGGGGAUAACAGGCUGAUACCGCCCAAGAGUUCAUAUCGACGGCGGUGUUUGGCACCUCGAUGUCGGCUCAUCACAUCCUGGGGCUGAAGUAGGUCCCAAGGGUAUGGCUGUUCGCCAUUUAAAGUGGUACGCGAGCUGGGUUUAGAACGUCGUGAGACAGUUCGGUCCCUAUCUGCCGUGGGCGCUGGAGAACUGAGGGGGGCUGCUCCUAGUACGAGAGGACCGGAGUGGACGCAUCACUGGUGUUCGGGUUGUCAUGCCAAUGGCACUGCCCGGUAGCUAAAUGCGGAAGAGAUAAGUGCUGAAAGCAUCUAAGCACGAAACUUGCCCCGAGAUGAGUUCUCCCUGACUCCUUGA